rnacentral:rRNA from 1 species
UGCUUUACACAUGCAAGUCGAACGGCAGCACGGGCUUCGGCCUGGUGGCGAGUGGCGAACGGGUGAGUAAUAUAUCGGAACGUACCCAAGAGUGGGGGAUAACGUAGCGAAAGUUACGCUAAUACCGCAUACGAUCUAAGGAUGAAAGUGGGGGAUCGCAAGACCUYRUGCUCCUGGAGCGGCCGAUAUCUGAUUAGCUAGUUGGUGAGGUAAAGGCUCACCAAGGCGACGAUCAGUAGCUGGUCUGAGAGGACGACCAGCCACACUGGAACUGAGACACGGUCCAGACUCCUACGGGAGGCAGCAGUGGGGAAUUUUGGACAAUGGGCGCAAGCCUGAUCCAGCAAUGCCGCGUGAGUGAAGAAGGCCUUCGGGUUGUAAAGCUCUUUUGUCAGGGAAGAAACGGUAGAGGCUAAUAUCCUUUGCUAAUGACGGUACCUGAAGAAUAAGCACCGGCUAACUACGUGCCAGCAGCCGCGGUAAUACGUAGGGUGCAAGCGUUAAUCGGAAUUACUGGGCGUAAAGCGUGCGCAGGCGGUUUUGUAAGUCUGUCGUGAAAGCCCCGGGCUCAACCUGGGAAUUGCGAUGGAGACUGCAAGGCUUGAAUCUGGCAGAGGGGGGUAGAAUUCCACGUGUAGCAGUGAAAUGCGUAGAGAUGUGGAGGAACACCGAUGGCGAAGGCAGCCCCCUGGGUCAAGAUUGACGCUCAUGCACGAAAGCGUGGGGAGCAAACAGGAUUAGAUACCCUGGUAGUCCACGCCCUAAACGAUGUCUACUAGUUGUCGGGUUUUAAUUAACUUGGUAACGCAGCUAACGCGUGAAGUAGACCGCCUGGGGAGUACGGUCGCAAGAUUAAAACUCAAAGGAAUUGACGGGGACCCGCACAAGCGGUGGAUGAUGUGGAUUAAUUCGAUGCAACGCGAAAAACCUUACCUACCCUUGACAUGUCAGGAAG